AUGGCGAGGGCCGGGCCGGGCGGGGCGGGGCGGCGCGCGGUCGGCCGCCAGGGGGCAGCCGCGCGUCUGCGGGCCGCGGCCGGCUGGAACCGGUCUGGCCGGAAGUUGGGGCGGUGCCUCGGCUUCCGCUGGCAGAAAGUGCCACGUGGCCGGCCAGGAGGGAGGCAAACAACAAGAUGGCGGCGGCAUGGGGCGGGGUCCGCUGGGAGCCCCCGAGGCCAUGGGUCCCGCAAAGGGCGGCGUUCGCUGGAUACAAACUUGGGCAACUUUUUCUGCAAAUCCCCCUGUUACUCAGGAGCACAAGAAUUAGCAUCCUCGAGCCUUCAGUUGUUUGCCUCCAGAAUUUCACUAGCACUGCCUUACUGUUAAAAGGAGAAAAUAUAUUUACAAUUUUUAAUAUUUCAUGAUAGCACAUUUGAUUUUUUUUUUAAGGAAAUUAAAAGAACUUGUAGCCUAGCAAUUCAGAGAUAACUUGUAGACACAAAAGGAAGUUUGUUUGGGGGGAUUAUAUUUGUACAACUUGGUACCUUCUUCACUUUUUCAGAUACGUUUUUAGUUUAUAUUAAAUUAUGUUCGACACAAUAUAAAUAAUACAGACGAAUACAAAGAACAAAUCACUCAAUGCCAUUAUCAAGGAAGAACCACUAUUAAACAGCUUGUCUCUAGUUGUCCUAAAAGAGCACUAAACCUAGUUUGUAACUGAUUUGCAUUUUGUCAGUCAGUCGUGUUGGACUCUUUUCGACCCUGUGGACUGCUGCAGCCCUCCAGGCUCCUCUGUCCCUGGGAUUCUCCAGGCAAAAAUACUGGAGUGGGUCGCCAUUAGCCACUUGUAAUGUACGUUUUCUAAGGUCAAGUAAGAAUCUUUGUGAUUUUUAGAGCCUGCAUGAUAUACUAUCAGUUCAAUAUACCACAAUUAACCACCAGCCUUUCUCUUACUGCUGAACACCAAAUUUGUCGUUUUUUGCUCUUAUAAAAAACUCUGGCAUGAGUAAUUUUGUACAAAAAGCUCUUCCUGUAUUUCUGUAGAAUACAGCUCACAAUGAAUCUGAGCUUUGUAAGGUGGAUUGAUACAUCUUUGACUCACCAGAUUGUUGAGUCCAUGGUGUUUCAUCUGGACCCUUCAAAUGACUGCAUCAGCUUUGUUUACCCACACUUUUCUAAAUUUUUUAAAUUAUAAAUCAUAUAUUCUUAGUAUAUUUUUCCAAGUUUUUAAAGAAGUAUACUUGAGUUACAUUGCUGUGCUUUGUAUAUUACCCUUGAUAUGAAGAUGUGUCUAAUAACUGUAAGAGAUGGAUAUUUAACCUUAAGUUAAAUAUUUAAAAGGAACCCUUUAACUGUCAAAUAUUAACAAUACAGAAACCUCUUUUCCUUUUAACAAGUUUUUUUUUUUUCCUGUGUAUAGAUAUGGUACAAAAGAAACUAGUUGUUGACAUUUUCUUUCCAAUGUGCAGCAAGUAUAAAAACUUUGUAGUUCUCUAAGAGACUUACUAACACAGCUUUGUGGGGAGGAAGUGGGGGGUGCAUAUGGAGAGAGUAAUAUGAAAACAUCACUGCCAUAUGUAAACUAGAUAGCCAAUGGGAAUUUGCUGUAUGACUCAGGGAACGAAAACUUAAGAACCUAGAGGGGUGGGAUGGGGAGGGAGGUGGGAGGGGACGUAGGUAAACCCAUCAGCAUUCAAGUUGACCUUUGGAGAUUCACGUUGAUGUUUGGUAGAAACCAACACAAUACUGUAAAGCAAUUACCCUUCAGUUAAAAUAAAUUUUUAAAAAAACUUUGUAGUUCUCCA
ensembl:lncRNA